rnacentral:rRNA from 1 species
GCGAUCAUACCAGCACUAAUGCACCGGAUCCCAUCAGAACUCCGAAGUUAAGCGUGCUUGGGCGAGAGCAGUACUAGGAUCGGUGACCCCCUGGGAAGUCCUCAUGUUGCACUU